AAAAACUGAUACGACUUUGUCAAAAGUUCCAAUGGCUGGGUGUGUUGGCACACACUUUUAAUUCCAGCAUUCUGAAGGCAGCGGCAGGUGGAUUUCCUGGCUUACAAGGUAUUUUGAAAUGUGCCAAAUCUUAAUUGAUGUGGAAGUGCCUGGAACCAGAGUUAAUACCUGGAGCGACGGGGAGCCCAAAUUAUGGAGGAACCCAGGAACCUGUGGCCGCUGGUGGCUACAGGUGGUGCCCGACGAGUGGCCUGAAAGCGGAAAGAAGGACUCGGGGUACACUGUUUUGGUGAGGCUCCACAGAAAACAGAAGAUGUAUUCUGCAUGGUCAGUUACUUCCAUACAGACUCACCUUCAGCAAAGCUCAGGUGGCUGUUAUUCUUCGAUAUGAAGAGACGCAUUGAGUGCAUAUUGUGGCUUUGGUCUGAAUAAGAAAAAGGAACCCAGUAACCUGUGGUUGCUGGCAGCUACAAUGUAGAACUCUCAGCUAGUUUUGCAUCGAGCCUGCCUAGAUGCUACCCUGCUGCCACCAUGAAGAUGAUGGACUGAACCCUUGAACUUGUGAGCUAGCCCCAAUUAAAUGUUGUCCUUUAUAAGACUUGCCUUGGUCAUGGUAUCUGUUCACAGUUGUAAAACCCUAACUAAGACAUCAAUGAAGAUGAAGGUUAUGAGACCAACUAAGCAUUGCAAAUCUAGAUAUGCAAACCACCAGU
rnacentral:lncRNA from 1 species